AUUCACUAAUAGAAGGUUAGGUCACAUGCAAAACACAAAGUGGAUAGGCCCCAUAAACAUCAUUAAGGAUGUCAAAUCUGACGAUUGAAAAUGUCAUCAUAUAGGAGAAAACGUAAACAAAGAAUGAAUGUAAAAAGAGAACAAGUUGACAUCCUCAAUGCCAAGUACUGCCAAAUAUUAAAAAAAAAAGUAUAUCGGCUGAUCGCUUGGCUUAACCUUAUUCAGUGAAUCCUGCAUAAAAUAUUAUAUUGAACUGGGCGCUGAGGAUGGAAGGCAACACAUGUGGAUCUGGAUUUCGUGGUAUUGCACGCAAAAUUGUGUAUGAUGAAUGCCCAAUUUCUAAUUGAAAAUGAACAGUGCCAGAUGUUUUCUUUAAAGGACUGUAAUACUCGGUGUCGUGAACAUUUGAAAGACAAUGUAAAGAGUGUUUCGAAUUGUUGAGGUGAGAAUUUCAAUGGACUUCCCAAAUAUAAUGUGUAUAUAUCGGUAACAUCUCCCAAACCGGUCGUGAGAAAACCAUAUGAGAUACUGAUUCCAAAACAACAAGUGGUCGACCGAAUAGUGAACGAGCUUUUGGAUUUGGACAUUAUCCGUAGUUGUAGUUGCGCCAAAGGCAAAUGUGGAGGAGGACCGAUUAUGUUUGUAUUACCAGGUUUUAAAUAAAGUAACUGAGAAACAGCCAUGGCCAA